AGAGUUUGAUCAUGGCUCAGGACGAACGCUGGCGGCGUGCCUAAUACAUGCAAGUCGAGCGAACAGAAAAGGAGCUUGCUCCUUUGACGUUAGCGGCGGACGGGUGAGUAACACGUGGGCAACCUACCCUAUAGUUUGGGAUAACUCCGGGAAACCGGGGCUAAUACCGAAUAAUCUCUUUUGCUUCAUGGUGAAAGACUGAAAGACGGUUUCGGCUGUCGCUAUAGGAUGGGCCCGCGGCGCAUUAGCUAGUUGGUGAGGUAACGGCUCACCAAGGCGACGAUGCGUAGCCGACCUGAGAGGGUGAUCGGCCACACUGGGACUGAGACACGGCCCAGACUCCUACGGGAGGCAGCAGUAGGGAAUCUUCCACAAUGGGCGAAAGCCUGAUGGAGCAACGCCGCGUGAGUGAAGAAGGUUUUCGGAUCGUAAAACUCUGUUGUAAGGGAAGAACAAGUACAGUAGUAACUGGCUGUACCUUGACGGUACCUUAUUAGAAAGCCACGGCUAACUACGUGCCAGCAGCCGCGGCAAUACGUAGGUGGCAAGCGUUGCCCGGAAUUAUUGGGCGUAA
rnacentral:rRNA from 1 species